rnacentral:rRNA from 1 species
CCUGGCUCAGAUUGAACGCUGGCGGCAGGCCUAACACAUGCAGAUCGAGCGGUACAGAGAAGCUUGCUUCUCUUGAGAGCGGCGGACGGGGUGCACUAAUGCCUAGUGAAUCUGCCUGGUAGUGGGGGAUAACGUUCGGAAACGGACGCUAAUACCGCAUACGUCCUACGGGAGAAAGCAGGGGACCUUCGGGCCUUGCGCUAUCAGAUGAGCCUAGGUCGGAUUAGCUAGUUGGUGGGGUAAUGGCUCACCAAGGCGACGAUCCGUAACUGGUCUGAGAGGAUGAUCAGUCACACUGGAACUGAGACACGGUCCAGACUCCUACGGGAGGCAGCAGUGGGGAAUAUUGGACAAUGGGCGAAAGCCUGAUCCAGCCAUGCCGCGUGUGUGAAGAAGGUCUUCGGAUUGUAAAGCACUUUAAGUUGGGAGGAAGGGUUGUAGAUUAAUACUCUGCAAUUUUGACGUUACCGACAGAAUAAGCACCGGCUAACUCUGUGCCAGCAGCCGCGGUAAUACAGAGGGUGCAAGCGUUAAUCGGAAUUACUGGGCGUAAAGCGCGCGUAGGUGGUUUGUUAAGUUGGAUGUGAAAUCCCCGGGCUCAAUCCUGGGAACUGCAUUCAAAACUGACUGAGCUAGAGUAUGGUAGAGGGUGGUGGAAUUUCCCUGUGUAGCGGUGAAAUNCGUAGAUAUAGGAAGGAACACCAGUGGCGAAGGCGACCACCUGGACUAAUACUGACACUGAGGUGCGAAAGCGUGGGGAGCAAACAGGAUUAGAUACCCUG